rnacentral:rRNA from 1 species
GACGAACGCUGGCGGCGCGCCUAAUACAUGCAAGUCGAGCGAGAAGACGUAGCAAUACGUUUGUAAAGCGGCGAACGGGUGAGGAAUACAUGGGUAACCUACCCUAGAGUGGGGAAUAACUAGCCGAAAGGUUAGCUAAUACCGCGUACGCUCCUUGGACUUCGGUUCAGGGAGGAAAGCGAUGCCGAGGGUAUCGCGCUCUUGGAUGGGCUCAUGUCCUAUCAGCUUGUUGGNGAGGUAACGGCUCACCAAGGCUUCGACGGGUAGCUGGUCUGAGAGGACGACCAGCCACAUUGGGACUGAGACACGGCCCAGACUCCUACGGGAGGCAGCAGUAGGGAAUCUUGCGCAAUGGGCGAAAGCCUGACGCAGCAACGCCGCGUGGGGGAUGACGGCCUCGGUUCG